rnacentral:miRNA from 1 species
GCUCAGUGGUAAAUCUCUCUCUCUCUCUCUCUCUCUCUCUCUCUCUCUCUCUCUCACACACACACACACACACACACAGAGAGAGAGAGAGAGAGAGAGAGAGAGAAUAAAGACAACUAGAAGA